CUGGAGUGCAGUGGGGCAAUCUCAGCUCACUGCAACCUCUGCCUUCCAGGUUCAAGCGAUUCUCCCCCCUCAGCCCCUUGAGUAGCUGGGAUUACAGGCGCCUGCCACCAUGCCCGGCUAAUUUUUGUAUUUUUAUAUACUUCUAGCUGUGCUGUUUAUAGUUUUGGGAAAAAAAUGGAAAUAACCUAAGGUCCCAGAAAUAGGAAAAUGGGCACAAAAGGGUAUGCAGGCAAUGGUUUAGCUGCCGCAUGAAUACACACUGAAUACACUGUGAGAUGUUGUCUGUUAGAAUGCCCAGCACGGGGACUGUCCACAUGGAAAGAGGCACAGGAAAAAAAGUGAAAACAUUAUAAAAUAACUUCUUAAAAUUAAAUAAUGUACACGUCAAAAAUAUCAGA
rnacentral:lncRNA from 10 species